rnacentral:rRNA from 1 species
GGAUUCCCCUAGUAACUGCGAGUGAAGCGGGAAGAGCUCAAAUUUCGAAUCCCAUGGACUCGUGGCCAUGGGAGUUGUAAUCUAGAGAAGCGUCUUCCGCGCUGGACCGUGUACAGGUCUCCUGGAAGGGAGCAUCGUAGAGGGUGACAGUCCCGUCUUCGACACGACGCCCAGGGCUAUGUGAGGCGCUCUCGACGAGUCGAGUUGUUUGGGAAUGCAGCUCCAAAGGGGUGGUAGACUCCAUCUAAAGCUAAAUACGGGCGAGAGACCGAUAGCGAACAAGUACCGUGAGGGAAAGAUGAAAAGAACUUUGGAAAGAGAGUUAAACAGUACGUGAAAUCGCUGGAAGGGAAACGCUCCGAGUCAGUCGCGUCCGCCGGGGAUCAACCCUGCUUCACGUGGGGCGUACUUCCCGACGGACGGGUCAGCAUCGAUCUCGGUCGUCGUACAAGGACGACGGCGAAAGUGGCACUCCCCGGAGUGUGUUAUAGCCCGUGGUUCGCAUGCGACGACCCGGGAUCGAGGAACUCGACACGGACGGGGCCUCGGCCCGCGUCGGCGUGUCCAGGAUGUUGGCGUAAUGGCUUCGAGCGACCCGUCUUGAAACACGGACCAAGGAGUCCAACGUGCCUGCGAGUGUUCGGGUGGCAAACCCGGGCGCGUAACGAAAGUGAAAGUCGGGACCCUCGUCGCGGGGGGCACCGACGCCCGGACCGGA